rnacentral:rRNA from 1 species
UAGGGAAUUUUCGUCAAUGGGCGCAAGCCUGAACGAGCGAUGCCGCGUGAGUGAAGAAGGCCUUCGGUCGUAAAAGCUCUGUUGCGGGGGAAAAAAGGCAGCAUCAGGAAAUGGGUGCUGACUGAUGGUGCCCCGCCAGAAAGUCACGGCUAACUACGUGCC